rnacentral:misc_RNA from 1 species
AGGCAAAAGUAGAAAUACAGGGCUUCCUGAACAUCUCUGUACUGUUGUUCAGACUAGUUUUAUUAUGUCAUUGAAUUAGCUUUGCUUUUUUUUUAUGCCUACAAAAUGUAUGUAAAGAAUAAGUUGAAAAAAGAUUUUAUAUGAUAUAAAAUAUAAGUUACAAAUGCCCCAAACCUAAUUGUAUAAUGAUGAUUACUUGAAAUAAAAUACUUCUUUUUUUUAACACAUCUAAAUUAGAGAUAUAUUUCAAAAAAUGAAACUGUGAAAAUGGAGUAUGUGUCAUUAUUUUAAGACUUCUAGCGAUCGUCUGGAUUGGCAAUCGUCCAGAUUUUUCUUCUGCACAGCCUUCUAAAUGCGCAUAAGAAAUAAGUUCCUUAAAGUAUUAAAAGUAUUACAAGAUUUGUAUUCCAUUUAUUCAACUAAAUUGUGUACAAAAAAUC